CGCGGGGUGGAGCAGCCUGGUAGCUCGUCGGGCUCAUAACCCGAAGGUCGUCGGUUCAAAUCCGGCCCCCGCAACC
rnacentral:tRNA from 6 species